GGGAAACCGAGUCUUAACUGGGCGUUAAGUUGCAGGGUAUAGACCCGAAACCCGGUGAUCUAGCCAUGGGCAGGUUGAAGGUUGGGUAACACUAACUGGAGGACCGAACCGACUAAUGUUGAAAAAUUAGCGGAUGACUUGUGGCUGGGGGUGAAAGGCCAAUCAAACCGGGAGAUAGCUGGUUCUCCCCGAAAGCUAUUUAGGUAGCGCCUCGUGAAUUCAUCUCCGGGGGUAGAGCACUGUUUCGGCAAGGGGGUCAUCCCGACUUACCAACCCGAUGCAAACUGCGAAUACCGGAGAAUGUUAUCACGGGAGACACACGGCGGGUGCUAACGUCCGUCGUGAAGAGGGAAACAACCCAGACCGCCAGCUAAGGUCCCAAAGUCAUGGUUAAGUGGGAAACGAUGUGGGAAGGCCCAGACAGCCAGGAUGUUGGCUUAGAAGCAGCCAUCAUUUAAAGAAAGCGUAAUAGCUCACUGGUCGAGUCGGCCUGCGCGGAAGAUGUAACGGGGCUAAACCAUGCACCGAAGCUGCGGCAGCGACGCUGAUGCGUUGUUGGGUAGGGGAGCGUUCUGUAAGCCUGUGAAGGUGUGCUGUGAGGCAUGCUGGAGGUAUCAGAAGUGCGAAUGCUGACAUAAGUAACGAUAAAGCGGGUGAAAAGCCCGCUCGCCGGAAGACCAAGGGUUCCUGUCCAACGUUAAUCGGGGCAGGGUGAGUCGACCCCUAAGGCGAGGCCGAAAGGCGUAGUCGAUGGGAAACAGGUUAAUAUUCCUGUACUUGGUGUUACUGCGAAGGGGGGACGGAGAAGGCUAUGUUGGCCGGGCGACGGUUGUCCCGGUUUAAGCGUGUAGGCUGGUUUUCCAGGCAAAUCCGGAGAAUCAAGGCUGAGGCGUGAUGACGAGGCACUACGGUGCUGAAGCAACAAAUGCCCUGCUUCCAGGAAAAGCCUCUAAGCAUCAGGUAACAUCAAAUCGUACCCCAAACCGACACAGGUGGUCAGGUAGAGAAUACCAAGGCGCUUGAGAGAACUCGGGUGAAGGAACUAGGCAAAAUGGUGCCGUAACUUCGGGAGAAGGCACGCUGAUAUGUAGGUGAAGCGACUUGCUCGUGGAGCUGAAAUCAGUCGAAGAUACCAGCUGGCUGCAACUGUUUAUUAAAAACACAGCACUGUGCAAACACGAAAGUGGACGUAUACGGUGUGACGCCUGCCCGGUGCCGGAAGGUUAAUUGAUGGGGUCAGCGCAAGCGAAGCUCUUGAUCGAAGCCCCGGUAAACGGCGGCCGUAACUAUAACGGUCCUAAGGUAGCGAAAUUCCUUGUCGGGUAAGUUCCGACCUGCACGAAUGGCGUAAUGAUGGCCAGGCUGUCUCCACCCGAGACUCAGUGAAAUUGAACUCGCUGUGAAGAUGCAGUGUACCCGCGGCAAGACGGAAAGACCCCGUGAACCUUUACUAUAGCUUGACACUGAACACUGGUCCUUGAUGUGUAGGAUAGGUGGGAGGCUUUGAAGUGUGGACGCCAGUCUGCAUGGAGCCGUCCUUGAAAUACCACCCUUUAAUGGCUGGUGUUCUAACGUAGGCCCCUUACCGGGGUUGCGGACAGUGUCUGGUGGGUAGUUUGACUGGGGCGGUCUCCUCCUAAAGAGUAACGGAGGAGCACGAAGGUUGGCUAAUCCUGGUCGGACAUCAGGAGGUUAGUGCAAUGGCAUAAGCCAGCUUGACUGCGAGCGUGACGGCGCGAGCAGGUGCGAAAGCAGGUCAUAGUGAUCCGGUGGUUCUGAAUGGAAGGGCCAUCGCUCAACGGAUAAAAGGUACUCCGGGGAUAACAGGCUGAUACCGCCCAAGAGUUCAUAUCGACGGCGGUGUUUGGCACCUCGAUGUCGGCUCAUCACAUCCUGGGGCUGAAGUAGGUCCCAAGGGUAUGGCUGUUCGCCAUUUAAAGUGGUACGCGAGCUGGGUUUAGAACGUCGUGAGACAGUUCGGUCCCUAUCUGCCGUGGGCGCUGGAGAACUGAGGGGGGCUGCUCCUAGUACGAGAGGACCGGAGUGGACGCAUCACUGGUGUUCGGGUUGUCAUGCCAAUGGCACUGCCCGGUAGCUAAAUGCGGAAGAGAUAAGUGCUGAAAGCAUCUAAGCACGAAACUUGCCCCGAGAUGAGUUCU
rnacentral:rRNA from 1 species